rnacentral:lncRNA from 1 species
AGUAAGUUUAUGAUUUUGUGUUGUUUAACUUUUCGCAAGUUUCACGAUCUGUAAACAAUGGGUUCUUCUAAAAAACAUAAAGACAGAGACAGGAAAAAGCAUCGUAGACGUUCUCGAUCGAGAUCUAGAGAAAGAGAAAGACGCCAUAAAAGAAGGCAUUAUUAUGAUGACGAAGUGGAAGUUCCGGAGAAGAAAGAAGAAAUCCGAAUUAAACAAGAGCCAGUUAAUGACGAAGGUAAGAUUCAUUGCUUUCGUUUCAUCUAAAGUAACCAAAUUCAAAGGAAUAAAGUAGAAUCCAUAGUGCACAAACACAUUAACAACAGUGCUAAAAAUACUCUGUGGCAGAUUGAAUUGUUAAUGCUUCACUUUGUAUAAAUUGAAGUACAAUAUUAGUUGGAUAAAAAUCAUAAAACUAGAUUUGACAUCAUUUAAAGAUUGUUUUUGCAAAUACUG